rnacentral:lncRNA from 1 species
CAGUCUUUAUACUCCCAGAUAAAUGCCUGGGUCUGGGAGAAGCUGUCAGGGUAUAUACAAGUUUGUGGACAAUAUGCAUAAUAUAUUGUUUAAUGCUUUUGUUGAUUUUCUUCCAAUAGGAAAGUUUAAAAUAUAGCUAAGCAGGUUUUGUCAGUUCCUGUAAGGAGGUGGCUCAAUGUUGCCCAGGUCACGUGACUAGGACUCAGUGAAAUAUGGAGGAAAUAUGGUUUUAUAUUAGGGGUUCAGAAGCUUAUUCAGAUUGAAUGAAUCUACAUUAACCAUCCUUUGCAGAGUCAGCAAGUAUGUGUAGUUGAAAUAGGGUGGGAAGGUGCUGAUAACAAGAGGAAUAGGAUCAACCUAAUUUUGGAGAUUUCAUUUGUUCUGAUUCUUAAAGGAAACUAAAGAUUCAAAGAGGUGGAUAUGAGAAACAAGUGCAUUCUAGGCAGGGUGUGGACAAGUUUCUCCAACUGUUUGAUUCCAUCCAGAAAGGGUAACUCAAGCCGCCUGCUUCCAUUUGAGACUCAAUUCACAAGAAGUUGAUCAUUUGCCAUUACUCUACUCUCUCCAGUCAGUAUGAUUCCCUUCCUCCCACCAACCCUGGCCAAAGAAUUGGAAUGGAAAAUGUUGAUAGAUCAUGUGAAUGUGUUGUGUGCAUAAUUCCUGACCAAUAAUAAAACUUUCACAACUUAUUCA